CGGGCUUGGACGCCAAUGCACUGACGACCAGCGGGAUCCAUCAGGUGAGGCUGCGUGACAUCGACGGCGUCGUGGACUCCGGCGGCGGUGGCGGGCUGAAGGGAAAGAAGGUGGCGGUUGCUGCUAAAACUUUUGAAAACCCUAGCUGUAGAAAGAGUUUGGGUUUGCAAGAGAUUUGCUGGAAACUUGGAAUUAACCGGUUAAUUCGGUUAACCGAUUAACCGGU
rnacentral:lncRNA from 1 species